UCAGAGAGAGAUUAGAGAUUUUGUAACAUCAUAGAUCCAUAGCAAUUUCAGUAACAGAGUUAGGAUUCAUAUAUUUAACGUGUAAUAUUUAUGGCCCAUGAGGAAUUUGCCCAACAACGGGGUUAUUAAUUAUGGUUAACAACCUAAUCAAUAUAUCUACCUACCGUUUUCAGGGGUGGACUAAAAUCCCGACCAAAAUCUCCACCUACCACAUCAACAAACAACAAAAAUCUCUGUUGCCAUUUGCAAAUCCUUAUAUCUCCCUUUGUAAGGUGUACUGGAAUAAGAUGAGGGUGCUAUGGUCAACCUCCAUGCCGAACCAUGUUAGUGAGCUUCAGUUAAUCAAAUAUUAAUAGUUUUUCAAUUUAGUGCCGAUCACAUUUGUCUCAGCCUACUUUGAUCUUCCAUUCGUUAACUUGAAAGGAUAUUUGAAUCAGCUUUGUUGGGGCCAUGGAGAGAUGAACUACGAAGAUUGUUGAUUGGGUUCUCUUUGAUGAAUCAUUGAGGUUGAGCGGAGGCAAAUGAAUCGUAAUCAAAACCGAAACAAGAAAAGGAAAACCCAUGGACAGUAUUCAGUAGGUGAUUAAAAAAAGAUUCAAUUUUGGUCUUUGGGUACUUUUGUUUAGC